UACGUAGGGGGCAAGCGUUGUCCGGAUUUAUUGGGCGUAAAGAGCGUGUAGGCGGUUAGGUAGGUCCGUUGUGAAAACUCGAGGCUCAACCUCGAGACGCCGAUGGAAACCAUCUAACUAGAGUCCGGAAGAGGAGAGUGGAAUUCCUGGUGUAGCGGUGAAAUGCGCAGAUAUCAGGAAGAACACCCGUGGCUAAGGCGGCUCUCUAGUACGGUACUGACGCUGAGACACGAAGGCCAGGGGAGCAAACGGG
rnacentral:rRNA from 1 species